AUUGAACGCUGGCGGCAGGCCUAACACAUGCAAGUCGAGCGCGCGGCGGACGGGUGAGUAAUGUCUGUGAAACUGCCUGAUGGAGGGGGAUAACUACUGGAAACGCUAGCUAAUACCGCAUACCAUCAGAUGUGCCCCGAGGGGAUUAGCUCGUAGUUGGGGUAACGGCUCACCUAGGCGACGAUCCCUAGCUGGUCUGAGAGGAUGACCAGCCACACUGGAACUGAGACACGGUCCAGACUCCUACGGGAGGCAGCAGUGGGGAAUAUUGCACAAUGGGCGCAAGCCUGAUGCAGCCAUGCCGCGUGUGUGAAGAAGGCCUUCGGGUUGUAAAGUACUUUCAGCGGGGAGGCGUUACCCGCAGAAGAAGCACCGGCUAACUCCGUGCCAGCAGCCGCGGUAAUUC
rnacentral:rRNA from 1 species